rnacentral:rRNA from 1 species
GAUGAACGCUGGCGGCGUGCCUAAUACAUGCAAGUCGAGCGAACGGACGAGAAGCUUGCUUCGCUGAUGUUAGCGGCGGACGGGGGAGUAACACGUGGAUAACCUACCUAUAAGACUGGGAUAACUUCGGGAAACCGUAGCUAAUACCGGAUAAUAUUUUGAACCGCAUGGUUCAAAAGUGAAAGACGGUCUUGCUGUCACUUAUAGAUGGAUCCGCGCUGCAUUAGCUAGUUGGUAAGGUAACGGCCUACCAAGGCAACGAUGCAUAGCCGACCUGAGAGGGUGAUCGGCCACACUGGAACUGAGACACGGUCCAGACUCCUACGGGAGGCAGCAGUAGGGAAUCUUCCGCAAUGGGCGAAAGCCUGACGGAGCAACGCCGCGUGAGUGAUGAAGGUCUUCGGAUCGUAAAACUCUGUUAUUAGGGAAGAACAUAUGUGUAAGUAACUGUGCACAUCUUGACGGUACCUAAUCAGAAAGCCACGGCUAACUACGUG